AGGAAAAAAUGUUUUAAACAGAUUGAAGUUAAACUGUACAUGAAGUAUAUGAAUGAGUGAGGUUUUUGGCAGGUUAAGUUGUUCAUCAGUGUGAUGGUCUGUGGAAAGAAACUGUUCCUGUGUCUGGUUGUUCUGACAUACAGAGCUCUGUAACAUCAACCAGAGGGGAGGAGUUUAAACAGGGUGUGUCCAGGGUGGGAGGGGUCUGCAGAGAUGUUACCAGCUCACUUCUUGUUCCUGGACACACAUAAGUCCUGGAUGG